GUGUUCUCUUCGGUAGCACAUAUACUAAAACUGCAACAAUACAGGGAGAUUAGCAUGGCCCCUACAUAAGGACGACAUGCACAUUCAUGAAGUGCUCCAUAUUUUU
rnacentral:snRNA from 1 species